rnacentral:sRNA from 1 species
GCUGGGCACAGUGGCUCAUGCCUGUAAUCCCAGCAGCUUGGGAGGCUCAGACAGGAGAAUUGCAAGUUCAAAGCCAGCAAACGCGAGGUGUUAAGCAACUCAGUGAGACCCUGUCUCUA